UUUGGCAUUCGGCUUACGCGCCAUAAUGCCGUUGCCCACCGCAUGCAGCAGGUGGGUUUUACCAAGGCCGGUGCCGCCGUA
rnacentral:antisense_RNA from 1 species